rnacentral:miRNA from 2 species
UGAUAUGUUUGAUAUUUGGUUGU